rnacentral:lncRNA from 1 species
AGAGCGCCUUGUGCUUUCUUUGCCGGCUCCUCGUGCCGCCGCCAUAGUCAGCCUGGAGGAGGUCGUGUGAAGGAACGUGUUGUUUAAUACUUGGCCGAAAGGACCAGCGUGGCGUUCCUCACCCCACCGCCACCCCACCCCCGAGCGGGGAGGGCUGGCGGCCAUGUUUCCCAACAAAAUGGCGACACGUGUCGCCAUCGAAAAAUUGGGCCGGGUCUGAAAGCUCUAGAAUGUGCCUUUCAUCAGUCUCAGAAUUUCCCAUAGGAUGAAACAGCAAGAGGUGCUUUUGGAAGAAAGUUAAUUCCCUUGGUGGGCAGGAGAAUAAAUAAAAUGCAGGCCUGACACGGGAUUUUUAAAAAACUGAGUAAUGGCAGGCAGGUGUGUGCCUGUGUGUGUGCGUGCGCGCGUGUGUGCACAGUAUGUAACCAAGUACCCAAGCAUCUAGAAAAAAUUUCUAGUUUUUUUCUAGAUGUUGUACAGGUGGUGCUGUAACUGAUUUAAGAUUGUUAUGCCUAAUAAGCCAUAGAAUGGCAAUGUCUCACUAUUCAACUGUCCAGUGAUCCUAAAGUUCACAGUUAUGUCCACUUUUCCACCUUUACAGUCAAGAGGAACAGAUUGUGGGUGUGGGUGUGCCACAGCAGAUUCCAUUCUAAACAUUUUAUCCCAUGCAAUAUAUAUUUUUUUUAAUUGAAAAUUCCAUGAAGUGGGUAUUUAUUUCUCUUUCUUUUCCCCAACAGAGCAAGACAAUCCCAGAGAGAUGAAUGAAGUGAAUGACCCAAGGUUACACAGGAUGGAACCUAUAUCUUCUGAUUUCUCUACUGGCCUGCACUCCACGUUCUGAGGAGGAGUCCUUGAAGCUACUGAGAUAAUGGAACAAUGGAGUAGAUAGUCCAUUAUAACUCAUCUGGGAUUCUUCUCAACUUCAAGUGACCACAGGUGGAAACAUGGUCUGGUAACACCACGCUUCCGGAUGUGAUUGUGGAGCUGGAUUGCUUAACCUGGGCUAAGUCAUUUAUCUUCCUGUGUCCCUCAGUUCUUCAUGGGCUGCAGAAGUGUUAAGAGUGCCUGCUUGUCUUCGAGAGGACCAGAGAUCAAUUCCCAGCAUCCAUCCCUGGAAGCUACAGGGAAUUCAACACUCUUCCUGACUUCCUCAAACACCUGCACACAUAUGGCUUAUAGACACACAGGGAAAGAAGUACCAUCUUUAUGAUACUAAUCUCUGGACACGUG